AACACAAUUACCAUUUAAUAAAGACGAUGAUUACUUCGGCUGAAGUCAUUCCUGACAAACAUUGACACUGUCAUUUCAUCAGCGUGGAAUUAUAAAUACCAAUUAUAGUUAAAGCUAUGAACACAUACUGUUCAUGAUGUAAAUAAGUAAGUAUAUGAGGCACUGUUUUACUAUUUAUUCCUUAUUUUCUGAUAUCAAAAAAUGAUUUUCUGAUAUGACUAAUUCAAUUUUUUUAUAUCAGGAAAUCGAUUUCUUGAUAUCAAAAAAUCAAAAUCGUCAGUACUAUUUGAUAUCAGAAAAUCUACUUUUUGAUAUCAUUAAAUGGAUUUCUUGAUAAAUGAUUUUCUGAUAUCAAGAAAUAUUGAUUAUUUUCUGAUAUCAAGAAAUCGAAUUCCUGAUAUCAAAAAAGGGAAUUUUUUAUAUGAAAAAAUUGAAUUCCUGAUAUCAAAAAAUAUUUUCUGAUAUCCAAAAAUCUAUUUUUGAUAUCAGGAAUUUAAUUUUUUGAUAUCAAGAAAUAUUUUUUAUUUCAGAAAAUAAGGAAUAAAUAGUAAAACUGCACCUCAUAUAGGUAAAUUGUUUAUUAUAGUGACAUGUGUAAAUCAACAUAAAUAUAUCUAUGUACAAAAUAUUAUCCAACAUACAAAAUACAACCAGCCCAUUAAGUCACCUUUCACUUUCAAUUCAAUAUAAAUGUUUCAAUAUCACAUGUUAAUUGUCAGUGUAUUUACUUUCGUCUUUAACAAUUUUUUUGGAUUGAGGAAUUUAUUUUCUUUUUUUUCGUGAAUACUUGAUUUUCUUGGUUAUAACAAAUUAUGGGUACAAGCCUAUAGAAAACUUAUACAGUUAUCACGGUAAUAUUUCUGGUUAACCUUCAACAACAAAAUCUAUGAAAAUUAGAUAAGUACAAGGGCGGAUCCAGCCAUUUCUAAAAGGGGGUUCCCAACCCAGGAUAAAGGGGGGGGGUUCCAACUAUAUGUCCCCAUUCAAAUACAUUGAUUGUCCAAAAAAAGGGGGGGGUUUCCAACCCCCGGAACCCUCCCCCUGGAUCCGCCACUGAAGUACCUCAUGAAUAAUAAUAAAUCACAGUAGUAAUAUAAUUUGUCCCUAAGAGUCAGACAAUGUGUGUAGCAUACUGAGGUAGUAUAAAAGUCUUGAUAUCCUAUUUCCAUAUAUAUUAAAGACAAAGACUGGCUUUUCUGACAGAAUGAGAAGGUACCAUGUAUACAGACCUGUGGAAACAGAUUCUGACAGAAUGAGAAGGUACCAUGUAUACAGACCUGUAGAAACAGAUUCUGACAGAAUGAGAAGGUACCAUGUAUACAGACCUGUAGAAACAGAUUCUGACAGAAUGAGAAGGUACCAUGUAUACAGACCUGUAGAAACAGAUUCUGACAGAAUGAGAAGGUACCAUGUAUACAGACCUGUAGAAACAGAUUCUGACAGAAUGAGAAGGUACCAUGUAUACAGACCUGUAGAAACAGACCUGUAGAAAAACAAUCAUGUCUACAACCAACUUUUACAGGAUUCAAAUGGUGCCUCUUCAAUUACACAUUAUAGUAGAUAUAAAUAAGUAUAAAUAUUGUAGGUUAAAAUUAUUUUCUUUACCUUUCUUACUAAAAUUUUUUCAUACCUUUCAAUGUUUCGAUGUUUCAAAGAAACUUUUAUGUGUUAUCAAUGCAUACAAUUUAAGAUUAUUUAGAUAAUAAAAAGGAUCAAGAAAUCAUAAAUAAUAGACAUAGUAGUAAAUUUUAUUAGACUCUUCCCCACCCCUUUUUCAUCAGGCAAACUUAAUCAUCUGUUCCUACCCUAUACCUGUACUUAACAUAUCCAAGAAAAUGAAAAGAUUAUGAAUUAAGGCUAGCUGGAUAUACAGAUUUGCCCCUAAUUUUUUUUUAAAUAUUCACUUCAAAGAGGAAUGUUGGCGUUAUAUACAAAAUGUGUUUCUUUAUGCAAUUCUAAUAAUUCUAAGAAGGUCAAUUAACUUUACAAGUCACCUAUAGAAUAAAAUGAAUA